CCUACGGGUCGCACCAGUGGGGAAUAUUGCACAAUGGGCGCAAGCCUGAUGCAGCCAUGCCGCGUGUAUGAAGAAGGCCUUCGGGUUGUAAAGUACUCUCAGCGGGGAGGAAGGUGUUGUGGUUAAUAACCACAGCAAUUGACGUUACCCGCAGAAGAAGCAUCGGCUAACUCCGUGCCAGCAGCCACGGUAAUACGGAGGGUGCAAGCGUUAAUCGGAAUUACUGGGCGUAAAGCGCACGCAGGCGGUCUGCCAAGUCGGAUGUGAAAUCCCCGGGCUCAACCUGGGAACUGCAUUCGAAACUGGCAGGCUAGAGUCUUGUAGAGGGGGGUAGAAUUCCGGGUGUAGCGGUGAAAUGCGUAGAGAUCUGGAGGAAUACCGGUGGCGAAGGCGGCCCCCUGGACAGAGACUGACGCUCUGGUGCGAAAGCGUGGGGAGCAAACAGGAUUAGAUACCCUAGUAGUC
rnacentral:rRNA from 1 species